AUAAUUUAUAAUUUUAAAUUAAUAUUUUAAUUAAAUAAAAAAUUUUGUAGCAAUAUUUAAUAAAACUAAGAAUUGAAUUAUUACAUUGUUCGAACAUCGAUAUGGACGAAAUAUUUUUAUACAAUACGUGACUUAUCGUUAUGUUACGAAACAAAUAUCGAAGAAUGUCUGAGGAACACGUGCUGUGUCCAUGUCAUCAACUAUUGGGAUUUUUGUUUUUAAAAAUUCCAUUACAAAGAUAGAAAAUAAUAUCAUGCACGUAAAUAUAAUAUAUAUGAUAAUAUUGAAGAUUACAUUAAAUAAAUCAUUGACAAUAAAUAUAAGAUAAAAAAACAAUAUAAUGUCAAGCAUUACAGAUCUCAUGAUAUAUGUAGAAGACAAUUCAUUUGCGCAUUUCGAGAUGGAAAUCUGUUAAAUCCGGACUUUCGUUCAAAUUCCAACUUCCAGAGAUAUGAACAUGGUCAAUAGAUUAUCAGAUUAAAUGAAAAUUAUUAAUUUAUGUUAAUUAUGUAUAAAUUCAAGUUAAAAAAUGAAAAAUGAAAUAAGAAAUUUUAAAUUGGAUUAAAAACAAUAUCAAUACCCACAGAUCAUAUCCUGGAUUACAUAGUCAAUUUAUAAAGCCAAAAUUAGAGAUAGAAGGAUCUAAAGAUUCAAAAUGUAAAUGUAAUUUCGAAUGCGA
rnacentral:lncRNA from 1 species